rnacentral:lncRNA from 1 species
ACAAACACAUUGAUGAAAAAAGCAUCUACGCUGCAAAUUACACAUUGGUAUUCUUUCUUGGCAAUCUUGAUCAUUGUUACAGACCAACAGAAAGUCACAAAUGCACACGUUGCUAAUACACUUUGGUAGAAAUUUCACCUUGCAAAUAGUCAAACAAUCAUUAUCAUUGUCGCAAUGUGUUGUAACUACAUUCCUUGCUUCAAUUCCAAGUGACGAACCUAUUAAAAAUGAUAUUUUAAUUAUAUCAAAACGAGUAUUCAUCAUAUGAAAUACAUACAAAAUAUGAGCAAAUACACACAUAAAUGUUGUAUUUGUGUGCGUAAGUGCAAAAAUUAAUAUAUGAAUGUAUGUGAUAAAGGAGGGAAGUUUUAAUGUGACAAGUUGUGUAAGUAUCUAGAUCAUUGAGAUUUGACAAAAAAAAUAUAGGAAAUUUACUCCCUUUUUAUUAUGAAGAUAUCCUAGACAGUGCGAUAUGAAUUUCAUGAAUUAAAUGCACAUAAAUUUCUUGAGAAAAAUAUCGACAAAGGAGAUGAAGAAAUAAAAUAAUCAUAAUUACCACUAAAGAGAAUCGAUCAAUUUCUUUUCCUUUUUUUUUUUUGAAAAAUUGAAACCAUCUUCGUAUUAAUAGAUAUUGAUUAUUUUCUUCACUACCAAACAUUUCAACUAACAUUUUCUGUUUAAUGAGAAUAUAGGAAAAGAACUUUAAUUAAUUAAAGAAAAAGAAAACUUCGUGUGAUAUAUUUAUUGAUUUGGUAUAAAUACUAUUUAAACAAAUGAUUUUUCCUCCAAUCACGGCUUUACAUUUUUCAGUAAAUUGGAUUGAAAGGCAAACCAUAAUAAAGAGAUACACAAGAAACAUAUAUGUAUGUGCAUGUUGAACAAAGAGAUGAAGAGAGUACAUUGAUUGAGUCCAUACCGAAAUUUCAAUAUUAAGUACAGAGUGAUAAAGAGAAAACAAAAAUGGAAGUAGACUUACAAAUCCCUAUUGCCCACAAUGUGAAGAGGAAAAUCAAAA